UACGAAGGGGGCUAGCGUUGCUCGGAAUCACUGGGCGUAAAGCGCACGUAGGCGGACUCUUAAGUCGGUGGUGAAAUCCUGGAGCUCAACUCCAGAACUGCCUCCGAUACUGCGAGUCUCCGAGUCCGGGAGAGGUGAGUGGAACUGCGAGUGUAGAGGUGAAAUUCGUAGAUAUUCGCAAGAACACCAGUGGCGAAGACGGCUCACUGGCCCGGUACUGACGCUGAGGUGCGAAAGCGUGGGGAGCAAACAGG
rnacentral:rRNA from 1 species